rnacentral:rRNA from 1 species
GAGGCUUUGAAGCACGUACGCCAGUAUGUGUGGAGCCGUCCUUGAAAUACCACCCUUGUAGUGUUGAUGUUCUAACGUCGACCCCUUAUCGGGUUGCGGACAGUGCCUGGUGGGUAGUUUGACUGGGGCGGUCUCCUCCCAAAGAGUAACGGAGGAGCACGAAGGUGGGCUAAUCACGGUUGGACAUCGUGAGGUUAGUGCAAUGGCAUAAGCCCGC